rnacentral:rRNA from 1 species
GACGAACGCUGGCGGCGUGCUUAACACAUGCAAGUCGAACGGAGUUACGUAUGAAGUAUUUCGGUACGGACUAUGUAACUUAGUGGCGAACGGGUGAGUAACACGUGGGCAACCUGCCCUUAACCGGGGGAUAACAUUGUGAAAACAGUGCUAAUACCGCAUAACAGAGUAUCGGGCAUCCGAUAUUUUUAAAAGGAGCAAUCCGGUUUAGGAUGGGCCCGCGUCCAAUUAGCUAGUUGGUGAGGUAACGGCUCACCAAGGCUACGAUUGGUAGCCGAACUGAGAGGUUGAUCGGCCACAUUGGGACUGAGACACGGCCCAGACUCCUACGGGAGGCAGCAGUGGGGAAUAUUGGGCAAUGGGCGAAAGCCUGACCCAGCGACGCCGCGUGAAGGAUGAAGGUCUUCGGAUUGUAAACUUCUUUGAUCAGGGAAGAAAGAAAUGACGGUACCUGAAGAACAAGCCACGGCUAACUACGUG